rnacentral:rRNA from 1 species
AGCGAACGCUGGCGGCAGGCCUAACACAUGCAAGUCGAACGAACUCUUCGGAGUUAGUGGCGGACGGGUGAGUAACCCGUGGGAACGUGCCUUUAGGUUCGGAAUAACUCAGGGAAACUUGAGCUAAUACCGGAUGUGCCCUUCGGGGGAAAGAUUUAUCGCCUUUAGAGCGGCCCGCGUCUGAUUAGCUAGUUGGUGAGGUAAAGGCUCACCAAGGCGACGAUCAGUAGCUGGUCUGAGAGGAUGAUCAGCCACAUUGGGACUGAGACACGGCCCAAACUCCUACGGGAGGCAGCAGUGGGGAAUCUUGCGCAAUGGGCGAAAGCCUGACGCAGCCAUGCCGCGUGAAUGAUGAAGGUCUUAGGAUUGUAAAAUUCUUUCACCGGGGACGAUAAUGACGGUACCCGGAGAAGAAGCCCCGGCUAACUUCGUG